GGGAGUACCGUAGAUGGAUAGUGGCGCAGUCUACCAGCAGAAACAAGUACUCAACAGCUGAUUCAACAAUACUUACUUAGUCAGCUGAGCGCACGGAUACGUCACAACAGCAUGUUACCAAAGCCAGUAUUAUUAUUCUUGCUGGUGGUGACGGUCCUCACAUUGUUUGGACUAAUUUACUUCUUUCUCUGACCUUCGCUAACAGACCCAGAUACGAUGGAGAGACGCUAUGUUUAUGCCUUGAUGUCGAUAGCGAUUGGAUCCGCCAUCAUAGUAGCAGUGUUCAUCUAUCUUGGCCCAGACUAGACACAUCAAUAAAUAGAUGUAAACAUUUCAUUGUUAAUCAUUCUUUUCAUACUUUGGAUACCUCAACAUGUUGUUAUUUUAUACGUACCUUUUGUACAAAAUAAACCAUUAGAUUGUCUUUG